rnacentral:lncRNA from 1 species
UAUAAUUGAUAAUUUUUUUGAUUAAUUUGUAUCCUGUUAAUCAUAAAUAGUCUUAUGCUUUUAUUAAAGGUUAUUUAAGCAAGAUUGAUAAUUUUUUGCAUUUAUUUCCAUAGGAGAAUCUGUUGACAUUGAAAAAAAAAAGAUUUAUUGUAUGCUAUUUGUUAGAAGUAUUCUUGCAACAAUUCACACGUAUUGCCAAGACCAUGCGUAGUGUUUGACAAAUUCUGUACCAUUUCCAUCGAUAAAUCAUCGUAACCUAUAUUAUGUAAUAAAUCUGAACAAUGAUUUCGUUGGAAGUAGACAGGUUAAAUGUGAGAAAUGGUUGCAAGGUAAUCUUAUUUUUUGUUUCUCAUACUUGAUGAGAAAAACAAAGAUUUGCCAAAUUGGAUUGAAGUUUCUUUAACUUUUCUGUGUAGGGAGCUAUAAUAUUUUUCCCUAAAUAAUUAGCUGAUUGUAGUCUUGAAAAGCAAUGACUUCCAUGUUUACUCGGGCCAUGGAGACGGUAAGCAACUAGCUUAUGUGUUUGAUUGUGUUUAAAAGUUAAUACUUGUAAAUGUGAGUGAGAGAAAAACAAGAUUUGUUAAUAAAAAAAAAAAUUUGAAAAUCAAGUUUCACGAAUAAGUAACUUAAGUAAAGCAUAGCCCAAGCAUGUAUUCAUUUUUAUUUUUUUUUGUUUUAUAUUUUCAAAGAAUCGUUAAACCCUAUUUCAUUUUUUACCAUGCGAUUUCAGGGUUGAAUAUUGACCUUGAGAAAAGUAUUCAAGAACUCAAUGUUGUGCUGUUGCAGCAGUACUAUUGAUAUGGGAAAGUGGUAAAAUAAAACUAAAUAGGCUUUAUGCCCUGGAAGAUGCUCCUAUUUUGUAUUUAUCGUUGAGUUCCCCUCACAUAGUGGCUAAUCUAUGGAGUGUAAGCAAUGAUGUUGAUAAAUUUGGUAUGGUCUUAUGUGCGAGUUGAUUUUAAGGGAUAGCAAAUGAUUCUACCAAAUGAGGGCUAAACAUGUAUAUACAACCAUCUAACUGGUCUCCAAUCAUAUUUGACUAAUGACUAGAUAUAGAUCAAACUUUAAUGAUCAAUAUUUACAUCACAAUUCGAAAACAUGCUCAUAUAUUUAUCAUUUCUUUUUUGAAAACAUUCCAAUUUUAUCAUUUAAUAAACAAGCUAAAUUCAUUAACAACAAAAAUAUUAAUCCAAAUAAUGAAAAUUUGUUCAAUCACUAGAGAGUGAUAGUUACCUAUUUGACAUAAGUCUACGGACUAAUGGGCAAGUUAAGAUCUCCAACAGGGAGUUAAAGAAAAUCCCAUAAGCUAUAGUUAAUAUGUCACGCACAAAUUGGUUAAAGAAAUUAGAUGAUGCGCUUUGAGCCUACCGAACCGCAUUUAAAACUCCUAUUGGGAUGUCUCCUUAUUGAUUGGAGUUCGAAAAGGUAUGUCACUGGUAAGUUGAAAUUGAGUAUAAUGCAUAUUGGAUAACUCACAUGAUAAACCUGGAUAUAAAGGUGGUCGGGAAAAAGAUCCUUCAAACGAGUUUGAUGAAUUUAGGUUUGGGGCUUUACGAGAAUACAAAAUUGUAUAUGGAAAAAUCUAAAAGAUAGCACAUUAAAGAAAAAGGGUUCGAGGUUAGUCAACGAGUUUUGAUGCUCAAUUCUCGCCUCAAAUUCUUUCUUGGCAAGCUAAGAUCAAGAUAGUUGGAUCCAUUCACGAAUGGAGAUGUACAUCCGUGUGGCACAUUUGAGGUUAUAUCUCAAGAUCACCAACAAAGGUUCAAUAUCAAUGGGCAAAGGUUGAAAACUUAUUGGGGAGGUGAUUACUCCAAUGAGAACACAAUUCUAUCACUUGAGGAUUCAAAAUAAACUUAAAUGAAAAGUGAGCUAUAAACUACUAAAAAAAAGGCUUGUUGGAAGGCUUCUUCACUUUUAUUUAUUCAAUUUUUAUACAUUAUUUUAAGAUUUUUCAUGUUUUGUGUUUUUGUUAUUGAAUUAGGUAUCUUCAUCCACAACUUAGGUUUUUAGGAUCAUUCUUGCAUUCAUAUACACUUAAUAUGUGUUUUGCAUGAAUUUGGAGCAUUUAAAACAUGUACAAGUGAUUUGAGUGAAAAAAGUGUUUUAGGGGGUCAAAUACGAGAAUUUGGAGAAAAUUACACCAAAAGGUAACUUUUAAAAGAAUGGUUGAGUUUGAAAUAAUUUUCAUGUUUUUCCAUCACUUUUUAGGCCUUUAGGACAUAAUUUAGUCGAAAAUCAACGUUUGGAGACAAUCGAGGGGUCUGAAUAGUCAAAUUCCAGCAAAGGAGAAAUGUCCUCUUUGCUAAUAACCGACGCGUGACCUUGCGCAUGCAAGGCCACCAUAUAAUUAACAAGGGCUUAUAUGACUAAGGUGCGGCUGACCCGUGGGGUGGGUUUUAAAACCCACAUCGAUACACAUUACAUGCACACUGAAAAACAUUACCGAUACCCCCUCUCAAUUUAUCUUCAAAUUCUAGACAAUCUCUAAUCAAUUUUUUUCCAAAUUUCACGUCGGCGUUGAAGAUUUGACGAACUAGAGCAUCAUUCAGCAACUAUUUCACACUAACAUUCCCCAAAUUUCAAGAAGUCAAAAGUACUUGUUAUACUUUGAAGAAUUUCAUGGUUUUGCUAGCUUUUUACAUAUCUUGCUAUUUGUUGGAGUUUUUGUGGUUCUUGAUAGAGAACAGGAUUAGGUCAAUGUUGGGUUUGCCAUAUGUGUUGUAAAGUCAUGGAUUAGACUUGUUUAGGUUCCAAGUUUACUUUAGACUCAUUGGUUUGCACAUUAAGUGUUUGACAAAAGGCCUAAAUGUAGUUUUUGUUCAUGCUUGUGGCUCUAUUUAUAUUCCCUACCUACGAACCCUCGUCUUUCUUGUCAAUCGACGUUCAUAUUAUUUUAUUAUGGUUGGCAUAUCUUAUACAAGUAACUAAUGUUCAUUUUUUUACACUGUUUGAUAAGGAUGCCUUCAAAGAGAAAUAAUAUUUCUUCCACAUCAUAGGGCAAAAAAUGGUCACGAAAUCUUCCGGCAUGGCUCGCACUCGACUUGAUGAUGAGAUAUGUGGCAGUUUCCAACCCUUGAGCACAAGGCUAGAUUUGAUAAUGUGGUCAAGAUGGAAACUUUGUCCAGGACGACAGGUAGUGGUGGAAGACUUUCUAGGGUUUGAGAUGACCCAAUUGAUUCGUUUAGCAAGAUGGGAACAAGUAGCAGGCGAGCCUUACAAGGUUUAUCUUAUCUUGGUGUAAGAGUUCUACACCAACUUUAAUGCAGAGUUAGACAUUCUGGGACCGAACAUAUGCACCAGCCAUGGAUUCGAGACAAAUGGAUAAUGUUCUGGCCAGAAGUGAUCGAUACUUACUACGGACUACCUAGGGACAAUAUUGUUCCUGUACCAAUGGAUCUAGACAUGUUAUUUGUUACACAGAUGCUAUAUGGGAGAGACGACACAUGGCCGCUUCUAGAAAACGAAUUUGAAUAUCGACAUCUGACAGACUCCCUUGUGAUCCUAUAUAACUUCAUCAGUCACAAUAUCGAUACAAACUCACACUGCACCACCAUUAGUCAUCUGAAGGCCAAUCUACUGUAUCAUCUCGCAUGAGGUUUUAAGAUUCAUUGGGAUCUAUGGUUAUUCCGAGUGCUUUUUUGGUGUGAUUUUUCAGUAUUAUACAACUUAUCUGUUUUCAGAUUACAGAAUUUAGUUUAUUUAAUUUACAAAAUAAAUAUUUCAGCUUAUAGUACUGUGAAAUGAUAUUUUUACUCAUAGUAUGAUGUCAGAUUUAUUAUAUAUCUGUUAUACCUUACAGUGAUUUAUUUAGAAUAAAG